GAUGAACGCUGGCGGCGUGCCUAAUACAUGCAAGUCGAGCGAACAGAUAAGGAGCUUGCUCCUUUGACGUUAGCGGCGGACGGGUGAGUAACACGUGGGUAACCUACCUAUAAGACUGGGAUAACUUCGGGAAACCGGAGCUAAUACCGGAUAACAUUUGGAACCGCAUGGUUCUAAAGUGAAAGAUGGUUUUGCUAUCACUUAUAGAUGGACCCGCGCCGUAUUAGCUAGUUGGUAAGGUAACGGCUUACCAAGGCGACGAUACGUAGCCGACCUGAGAGGGUGAUCGGCCGCACUGGAACUGAGACACGGUCCAGACUCCUACGGGAGGCAGCAGUAGGGAAUCUUCCGCAAUGGGCGAAAGCCUGACGGAGCAGCGCCGCGUGAGUGAUGAAGGGUUUCGGCUCGUAAAACUCUGUUAUUAGGGAAGAACAAAUGUGUAAGUAACUGUGCACGUCUUGACGGUACCUAAUCAGAAAGCCACGGCUAACUACGUG
rnacentral:rRNA from 1 species